rnacentral:lncRNA from 1 species
CUGCCUUCUCUCUACUUUCUCUCUCUAGAUUUUCUAUGAUUUCUCGGUCUAAUAUCAAUGUUUACAUGGAAUCAGAGCCUAGACGACGAUCCGAUUGUGUUUCUCUACAUCUCGUUGUCUUGGUUGAACUCUUUUUUGAGAUUUUCUAGGGCUUUUUCUGAGACCUUAUGGUCGAUGAUGGCUUUGACCUAGAUCGGAUGCUUUUCCGAGUUUUUCGUCAUGAUAUUUGAGUAUAUUUUCUUCACCCGAACAUUCUCAGUAGUUUACUGCUGAUUUUUGGUGGUUUCUCGGUGACCUAUCGGCUUCUAGGGUUUCUGGUGGUUUAACCUAGGGUUCUACUGCUUUCCGGUGGCUCGAUUCUAACUCAGUGGACGUUUUGGGUGCUUCUCCGACGUUCCUGACCACAUUUUCAGUAACGAUUUCCAAGGUUACACCUAGGGUAAUGUUUUUCCGAGUUUUUCGUCAUGAUAUUUGAGUAUAUUCUCUUCACCCAAAAAUUCUGAGAGUUUUUCUGCUGAUUUUGGGUGGUUUCUCGGUGACCUAUCGGCUUCUAGGGUUUCUGGUGGUUUAACCUAGGGUUCUACUGCUUUCCGGUGN